UGCAACAUUCACUUUAUCACGAUACUCACUUGACUGUGGUGGUCUGGAGCCGAACCUGCAGCACCACCAAGGUAUGCCUGAGUUACCUUACAGGGUGGUCACAAUGAGAAAACGAGAAAACACACGUGUAUCAGUCAGAGUCCAGCAAGGAAAGCAGAAAUCUGAGUAUUUAAAACAGAGGGAAUUUAACUCAGGGAAUUGAUUACAAAGGUGACAAAGAUGCUAAGAAAUCACCUAGGAAUCAAUAAGGAAACCCAGAGUUUAACAAAUACCAGGAAGUUUCAACUACCCCCUAAACUAGGGGAAAAGGAAAGAGGUGGUUUCCUGGAGUCAGGACCCCUGGCAGAAGCUAGAACCAUAGAUCUGUCCAGUGAGGAGUAGGAGCAGAGAAGUAGUGUCGCUGUUGCUAGAGAAGCAAUCUAAAGUAGACAAGGGUUAAAGCCACCCUGGCUUCUCCUUUCUCUCACCCUCCCAUUUCCUAUCAGCAUCUCCUCUUGACAAAACCCACCUAGAAUCGGGGAGCCUGGUUUAAUCGAAGACAUCUUAGGCACUUUCUCACAUUCUCAGCCUCAGCUUCAUACGCCUCUUGGUUCUUAACCACUUGCUUUCACACUAUUGCCCUUGCAGCAAUCAUCUGUAGGUGGGGCUGCAGUUUCCACCGUCUGAAGUCUGCAGCUGAAGAGUCUAGCUCGGAACGCCAUCUGUGGACGCUGGGUGUUCCGGUACAGCCACAUUCUCCAGGGUCAAGUGACCAGUUUCGUUUCUUCAUGGAGCAGUGGCCAGCUCAGUUAUGGGCCGUCUUGUCGUGAAGCACAUGGAGGAGGGACGCAGAGACUGAACAUCUGUAACGGGGGAUGUCCCCAGUGUGGUAACUCCUUUGCGUGCCUAGUGUGGCAAGAUUACUUGAUGGGUUGUUAUAUCAGUGCAAUAGCCCAGAGAUCCUAAGGUAAAGGAGGGCAUAAUAAAGAUGGUCCAAUUAAAUAAAACUUGUAUGUCAAGUAGGAAAGGAACAGUCGGCAGGGGCCAUGACACUAGACAAGAGAUCUCAACUGGUUGAGGAAAAUGAGCGGUAAGAGUAGAAAGUGAUAAAUAUCAAAUGCCCAAACGUGGAUGACCACAUUGUGGUCCAUCUGUACAAGGGAAUGCUGCUCCGUAACACAAAGAAUGAACCGAUACGUGAAAGAACGAGGAUUGAUUUCAAAAACAUACUGAGCAAAAACAAGCCAGAUGCAAAAGAACACAUGAUGUAUGAAGAUCUGUAACAAAACAGACACAACUAAUUCAUGGUCACAGAAAGAACAUCACCGGUUUCCUGGGACAGGGUGGGUGGCGAGAGGGAGAAAGGAGCUUCUGGACGUGAUGGAAAUGUUCUGUCUUGAUCUGACUGAGGGGCGCAUACAUCUGUCUAAAGCCCACUGAUCUCAUGACUUUAAAUGAGUGCAUUUUAUUGCACGAAAGCAUAACUCAAUAUAGUUGAUUUUUGAAACGUCAAGAUCAAGACAGACGAAAUCCUGAAGAAAUUCAGCUUAAAGGAGACUAAAGAGACAUCACAACUAAAUGUACAUAAUUCUGAACAAGAAGGGAACACUGGUAUAAAUGGCGCUCUACAGACAGUUGAGAAAAUUUGAAUACGGGCUAUAGAUGAAAGCACAGUAGGAGCAAUGCUGAAUUUCCUGAUUUUGACAAUUGUACCAUGGUUACACAAGGCAAAGUCCUUGUUCUGGUGAAAUAUUUAGACAAAGGGACAUAAUGUCCUGAAUUUAUCAUCAAAUGAAUUGGCAAGGAGAGAGAGAGAACUGUAAAGUGAAGAUAGAGUAAAACAUAAACAAAUGGUAACUACGAGUUAAGGUUCUACAAAGUUCCUUGUACUAUCACUUCAACUAUUCAGAAGUUUGAAAAUACAGCAGAAUUAGUUUUUUAAUGAGAAGGAAGCAUCUAGCUGGGGAGGGAGGGAAGGUAACUGUUUUUUAGUUAUGAAUUGUGAUCUCUCAAAGCCAGGAGCUAUUGACAUGAUUCAUCCCAUUGAUAAAGAAAAGACCCAGGCUUUUUAUCUGAGUUCUCUAAUCGGUUCUGUGAGUGUCUCGGGGAAAGAGAAAGUAAUUCCUUGAGGCCAUUAAACAGACAGGUAACCGCUCUGCAAAGACAAAAUGACUGUCUCUUCCCCAAGAAGACAGAUGGUAUCUGAUGUUUUAAAUCAUAGACCAAAAGGGCAUUUUCUUCCUCUUUCAGUUCAUCUCUGUUUCCACAGUGGACUAAGUCCUACAGUCAAAAAUAUUAAGUUGUAAGUAACCACAAACUAUUACAAGAAAUAAACAACAGUUUUCAAAAAUGACAAAAUUCCAUUUCACCUUUUCU